rnacentral:rRNA from 1 species
GCGAGUGCGUGGGCAUCAACCGCGGUAUAUGAGGAGGUGCAAUCGGUAAUCGGAAUUAAUGGGCGUAAAGCGCUCGUAGGGUGAACUGUAAGUCGGAUGUGAAAUCCCCGGGCUUAACCUUGGAAUUGCAUUCGAUACUGUAAUUCUAGAGUAUGGUAGAGGGAAGUGGAAUUUCCGGUGUAGCGGUGAAAUGCGUAGAUAUCGGAAGGAACAUCAGUGGCGAAAGCGGCUUCCUGGACCAAUACUGACACUUAGGUGCGAAAGCGUGGGGAGCAAACAGGAUUAGAUACCCCGGUAGUC